GACGAACGCUGGCGGCAGGCUUAACACAUGCAAGUCGAACGCCCUCUUCGGAGGGAGUGGCAGACGGGUGAGUAACGCGUGGGAAUCUACCCUAUUCUACGGAACAACAGUUAGAAAUGACUGCUAAUACCGUAUACGCCCUCCGGGGGAAAGAUUUAUCGGAGUAGGAUGAGCCCGCGUUUGAUUAGCUAGUUGGUGAGGUAAUGGCUCACCAAGGCGACGAUCAAUAGCUGGUCUGAGAGGAUGAUCAGCCACACUGGGACUGAGACACGGCCCAGACUCCUACGGGAGGCAGCAGUGGGGAAUAUUGGACAAUGGGCGCAAGCCUGAUCCAGCCAUGCCGCGUGUGUGAUGAAGGCCCUAGGGUUGUAAAGCACUUUCAACGGUGAAGAUAAUGACGGUAACCGUAGAAGAAGCUCCGGCUAACUUCGUGCCAGCCGCCGCGGUAAU
rnacentral:rRNA from 1 species